AAUGGUGAGUAAUCGCGGCUCAUGUAUAAUGAGUUGAGGAAAGUCCAGGCUCGCCCGGUGCUGAGAUGCCCGGAGUGUUCGUGCCAUCUGCAAAGGUGGGCAGCAGUCUUUACUGCUGACGGCGGGGAAAUGAUGCUACGUCCAUCAUGGAUAUGCUCUUAGUACCCUGAAAGUGCCACAGUGACGAAUUCUUCUGGAAACGGAAGAAAUGGAACGGGUAAACCCCGCGAGCGAGCAACCCAAACUUUGGUAGGGGCACCAUCCUGAGGGAAAUGAACCAAACGGAUGGAUCGGUCAUUUUUGACUGAUAGUCAUAUGAUUACACCUGUUGUGCGAGAUUGGCAUCGUUUGAGCACGAAGGAACAGAACCUGGCUUACAGCC
rnacentral:RNase_P_RNA from 2 species